GAGUUUGAUCAUGGCUCAGAUUGAACGCUGGCGGUAGGCUUAACACAUGCAAGUCGUGCGAGAAAGUAUCUUCGGAUAUGAGUAGAGCGGCGGACGGGUGAGUAACGCGUAGGAAUCUACCUAGUAGAAGGGGAUAGCCCGGGGAAACCCGGAUUAAUACCGUAUACCUCCUUCGGGAGAAAGAAGGCCUCUCUUUGAAGCUUUCGCUAUUAGAUGAGCCUGCGUAAGAUUAGCUUGUUGGUGAGGUAAAGGCUCACCAAGGCGACGAUCUUUAGCUGGUCUGAGAGGACGAUCAGCCACAUUGGGACUGAGACACGGCCCAGACUCCUACGGGAGGCAGCAGUGGGGAAUAUUGGACAAUGGGCGCAAGCCUGAUCCAGCCAUACCGCGUGUGUGAAGAAGGCCUUCGGGUUGUAAAGCACUUUAAGCAGGGAGAAAAAGUUAUAAGUUAAUACCUUAUAACCCUGAUGUUACCUGCAGAAUAAGCACCGGCUAAUUCCGUGCCAGCAGCCGCGGUAAUACGGAAGGUGCAAGCGUUAAUCGGAAUUACUGGGCGUAAAGCGCGCGUAGGUGGUUUGUUAAGUUGGAUGUGAAAGCCCUGGGCUCAACCUAGGAACUGCAUCCAAAACUAACUCACUAGAGUACGAUAGAGGGAGGUAGAAUUCAUAGUGUAGCGGUGGAAUGCGUAGAUAUUAUGAAGAAUACCAGUGGCGAAGGCGGCCUCCUGGAUCUGUACUGACACUGAGGUGCGAAAGCGUGGGUAGCGAGCAGGAUUAGAUACCCUGGUAGUCCACGCCGUAAACGAUGACAACUAGCUGUUGGGAGACUAUGUCUUUCAGUGGCGCAGCUAACGCUUUAAGUUGUCCGCCUGGGGAGUACGGCCGCAAGGCUAAAACUCAAAUGAAUUAACGGGGACCCGCACAAGCGGCGGAGCAUGUGGUUUAAUUCGAUGCAACGCGAAAAACCUUACCUACUCUUGACAUACUUGGAGGCUCUUGUAAUGAGAGUGUGCCUUUUGGAACCAAGAUACAGGUGCUGCAUGGCUGUCGUCAGCUCGUGUCGUGAGAUGUUCCGUUAAGUCGGAUAACGAGCGCAAGCCUCACCCUUAUUUGCCAGCGAUUCGGUCGGGAACUAUAAGGGGACUGCCGGUGAUAAACCGGAGGAAGGUGAGGACGACGUCAAGUCAUCAUGGCCCUUACGAGUAGGGCUACACACGUGCUACAAUGGGAGAUACAGACGGACGCUAAGCCGCGAGGUGGUGCUAAUCCUAAAAAGUCUUACGUAGUCCGGAUUGGAGUCUGCAACUCGGCUCCAUGAAGUCGGAAUCGCUAGUAAUCGCGGAUCAGCAUGCCGCGGUGAAUACGUUCUCGGGUCUUGUACACACCGCCCGUCACACCAUGGAAGUGGAUUGCACCAGAAGUAGAUAGUCUAACCUUAGGGAGGGCGUUUACCACGGUGUGCUUCAUGACUGGGGUGAAGUCGUAACAAGGUAACC
rnacentral:rRNA from 1 species